rnacentral:lncRNA from 1 species
GUUCAACGACAGAUGUAGACAAAAUGCAGUUAUGUCUGCAAACUAACCUAAAACCGAUUUGUAGUUUCAGGAUCAACUUCUGUGAAAUAUAGCGUAGGCAUCAUUGCUGGGGCUUUGCUUGGAUCCCUCACCUGGGCCAGCAGUCUAUCCCUUGUGCCGCUGCUCUUUGGCAUGUUGUCACUAUUCUCCCCUGAAUGCUGAAUUUGGAAGCCAUUCCUUCUUUCGUGAAAGAUGUUUCUAGAGAAGACAAACAGAAGUUAUCUUCCAUCUGCGUGUGUAAAGCUGAACAGUUCUGUGCUUAGAUAUUAAUCUUGAUCUGAUGCUGAUUUCUUUUGAAGCUCAACUUUGACCCAAACUGUAUAUUAGCUUACUUUGUUUCUGUUUAUAUGAACAAAACCUAAGUCAUUCUCAACUUUUAAAACGUGAGAAUGUUUGCAACAUACAAAACAGCUAAGAAAUAAAUCUAGGAGUCAAAAAAAAAAAAAGGAUGGC